rnacentral:rRNA from 1 species
UACGUAGGGGGCAAGCGUUGUCCGGAUUUAUUGGGCGUAAAGAGCGUGUAGGCGGCUAGAUAGGUCCGUUGUGAAAACUCGAGGCUCAACCUCGAGACGUCGAUGGAAACCAUCUGGCUAGAGUCCGGAAGAGGAGAGUGGAAUUCCUGGUGUAGCGGUGAAAUGCGCAGAUAUCGGAAGGAACACCUGUGGCGAAAGCGGCUCACUGGACCACAACUGACGCUGAGGCACGAAAGCUAGGGGAGCAAACAGG